CCCUAAAUAUUAUCACUCACCAACACUUCAACAGAGCUAAGUUCAAAGUCUCUCUUGGACUUCUGCACUUAACUAUCACAUUCAAAUGUUGCAAUGACCCUCUAAUUGGCUAAAUGCAAUCAUCUCUAUCUCUUUGUGGAUGUACAAAUCAGAAGUAAACAACCAAAGUCCAUAGGUAGAGUAGCAUUGUCAGUUCCACCUUUUAUUAGUUUCUCUCUCCUUGAACUGCAAUUGGGGAGAUAAACUGGUGCCAUUACAUAGAAGAUAGAAAAAACCUUGGUGAUUCAGGGGAUCUUACAGAACCAGACAAGACUAGACAGCAGAAUCCUACUACUACUACUACUAGGCCCAUGCUGCUUUGUAAAAUGGAAGCAAUGCCCAAGAAACACGUGGGUGUUCAACAAGGCGUCGCCAUAUUGCUUAUGUAAGAGAUAGUGACGUUUCGAAAAUUCUUCAGCAAACGUGAGGAUGACUGUUGCUAGGCUGGUCUCGCGCACACCUUCCAAACCAGUUACAGCUAGUCUAAUUCCUACUGUUUUACAGCCGAUCAGCGCGAACAGAGAUACCUAUAUAGUCGUCGAGAGAGCCGUGGGAAAAUCGAGAUUACGUUAAAACUGUUAUAUUGGUUUAAUUUCUGGUGACGGACUGAAGAUAAUUGCAAGUAUAAUCCAAUCCUCUGAUUCUAUUGGAAAGACUACAGGGUGAACUUCAACAGGGCUUGAUACUUCUGUUUCGUUAGUCUCCCUCCCCGGUGGCUGAGUGGUAAGUCUGAAGGCUUAUAACGUUAAAAAUCGGAUUUCGAUACUCGCAGAGAGCACAGAACAGAUAGCCCACUGUGUAGCUUUAUGCUUAACAACAAACAAAUAAUUUCGUUAAGAGCCCUUAUGUUCUAGUGGUCCCAUUCUGACUACUGGAAUAGAUAAGUUAGUAUGUUUAUUUGGUAUCUUGCUGGCUAAUCAUUAUCAAUGGUACUGGAAUUAAAAUGUUACACAUUCAGAAAACUUCCUUUCUGUUACGAAUUGUUACUGUUUACUAAAGAAGUGUAUUGAUAAUAUGAGGAUCGUUCUUAUUUUCUUUGUUGCUAUUCUUCGGGUGACUUUCAGUGAUUUGUUUACUGACGCAAUACGAGAAGGCUUUAAAUGUAAAAUAUGAGAAGCAGGAGCAAUUAGAUAAUCAUGUUGAUCAUGUUUCUGUGUAACUUCUUCCCUUAACUAUGAGGUACAAGUGAGAUCUAUGCCUUUAUAGAAACAAUUAAUAAUCAUGUUGAUCAUGUUUCUGUGUAACUUCUUCCUUUAACUGUGAGAUACAAAUGAGAUAUAUGCCUUUAUUGAGAUCUAUGCCUUUAUAGAAACAAUUAAUAAUCAUGUUGAUCAUGUUUCUGUGUAACUUCUUCACUUAACUGUGAGAUACAAAGUGAGAUCUAUGCCUUUAUAGAAACAAUUAAUAAUCAUGUUGAUCAUG